rnacentral:lncRNA from 1 species
GUGCCUCUGGGCCAGUCACACUCCAAUUCUCAGGUUUCUCCUGGAAGGAGCCUUCCAGUGCCUCAAGUGCACACCUGAAAGAUGUCCUACUUAUCAUCUUAAAGUUGGCCAACCCACUCAGAAGCCACACCCCCCCUUGCCACAAUCUCACCAACAUACUCCACACUCACAACCAGAACCAGCCACAGUCUAACUUCAAUCCUUGCUGGCACUGCUAAAAUGGGUUCCAGCUUCCUAACCUGGAAGCCACCUGCCCUUCUCUUCUCUUUAGUUUCCUUGAGAGCUCAGUCUGGAACUUGGCUCUGCCCCAGCUUCUUGCUUUGACUCCAGUUGAUCAGACGUUACAAUCUGCCAACCUUGACCACUUGUGCAUGAGUCAAUCAACAGGUAGAGGCCACCAAUGUUUUGGAUUCCAUCAAAGAUGACAACCCUCAAGAAUAUACCAUAGGCAUGAGGUAGCCCACAGAAAUCGGGAGAAAAUUCUCAGCUCCUAUUGAAAGAAGACGGUAUAGCACAGAGCUUGGGUUUUGGAGCUAGAGAGACCUGGUUCUGAGAUCCACUUGCUCUGAAACUACCUGGCUGUGUUGCUUUGAACAAAUUUCUUAACCUCCCUGUGCCUCAGUUUCCCACUGUAAAAUGGGGACGAUAAAAUGUCAUACAUUUGGGGCAAGGGUCCCAUGAGUAAGCACUCAACACAUGUCAAUUACUAGGGGAUAUUUCUUUGUCUCUCUUUUAAAAAUAGGUUUCCCUUGUCCUUCCCCAUGACACAAUGAGGAAGCAAUGCCCAGAGUAAGUCAGUCAUGUCUUAGAUUUCACGCCAACUCACUGAAAUCGAGUAAAGAUGAGGAAAGAGAAGUUUCUGUUUGUACACCAAUGUCCUCAUCACUCACCACAGUUGUGCUGAUGGGAAAGAGAGGCUGCCGGAAGGAAACAAAAGUUCAUCAAGGGCUGGCAAAUAUUAAUCUGGGAGCUCACGGAUGGGCAGUGAUGCGCGCUCUCUGGCGGUAGGUGUUCCCUUCAUGUUCUUGCUACUUCUGGGCUGAGAGGAGUCCACACCUCACCCCUGCACUGAGGGCAGUCGCCGUGACGCUCCAUCGUCUUCUGUUCUCCAUCUACUUCCAGGCGCUUUCCAAGAGAAGGCUAGGGAGGUGGGAGAGAGACAGACAGUGGACUGAAGAUCUUGGUGAAGAAGAGAAGACAGAGCUCUCACUCCACAAUCGCCCUUUUCUCUAACAAUAUGCAUUUUCUUUUCCUAGAUUCAUGUUUUUUAACCAUGACCGUGCGUAAGAAUCACAAGAGGAAGCUUCAGAAAAAUUAUGCUGGGGCUUUAUCUCCAUUUAUUAGGAUUCAAAUUUCCGGGUGAGCCUUGAACAUGGGGAUUUUAAAAUAGCUCUUAAGUGAUUUCUGUAGGUAGCCAGGCUCGAGAAUCAUUGUCCUACUUGCAAAAUCCACCGAGAGUGUCCACAUCCCGCUCCCCUUACUUUACAGGAUGUGUUGAUCCCCAGCAACACUGCUCCUCCUUCACUGCAUGUUAGGAUGCCCUGGAGGACUUUUUUAAAAAUGAGGCUGUCCAGGGCCUGCCCCCAGAAUUUCGGAUUAGUUGGCUUGAAGUGGGGUGCAGGCGUGAAAGAUAUACCUCCACAAGCUAAUAAUUCCAUAUAUAUAUGAUUAUUCAUCACAGCAUAAUUGAUAAUAGAAAAGAUUGGAACCCAAAUGUUUAUCUAUCAGAGAUAUUAAAUAAACUCUGGUCCAACCUCAACCUGGCAUACUAUGCAUCUGUUAAAACAGAAUGAGAAGAUCCCUCUGCGCUGAUAUGAAAAGAUCUCUAGGGUAUACAGAAAGGAAAAAAAAUCCAUAGACAGAACAGCAUCUCUAGGGUACUACUGUUUGUAUAAGAAGAAGGGGAGAAAAAUCGAGAAUAUACUUUCAUGGUGCUUGUAUUUGCAUAAAGAAACACUGGAAGAAAAUAAUCAAAGUGGUGACUGUGGGAGCAGGAGGUGACAGAAUGUUUGGGGACAUGGGUGGGAUAGAGACCUUUUUCUAGAGUGUGGAUUUCUGCAACUUGCAGAUUAUCUAUGUUCAAAGACAAAGUGCUUAGCAAGUUCCUCAGGUGAUUUUCGUGAGCAGUUGUCUUUGAAAACAUUUAUCUCGGGCAAACUGCAACCUGUGGCCCCAAUCCAGCCUGCUCGCUAUAUUUUUUUGAAUAAACUUUUCAUUUUAGAACAAUUUCAGAUUUUGAGAAUUAUCAAGAAUAUACUUCAAGAAGUUCCUGCAUGCUGCAGUUUCCCUGUUAUUAACAUCUUGCAUGCAUGUGGUACAUUUGUCACAUUAAUGAACAAAUACUGAUAAAUCGUUAUUAACUGAGGGACAUACUUUAAAUUUCCUCGGGUUUCCCCUAAUGUCCUCUCUCUGUUCCAAGAUCCAAGCAGGGAUCACGUCUCCUUAGCCUUCUCUUGGCUGUGAUAAUUUCUCAGACUCACCUUCUCUGUUUUUGAGGACCCUGACAGUUUUGAGGGACACUGGUCAGGCAUUUUGUUGAAUGUCCCUCGGCUGGGAUUUGCCUGAUAUUUUUUUCAUGAUUAGACUAGGAUAACAUGUUUUGGGAAGGAAGAACACAGAUGUAAAGUGCCAUUCUCAUCACAUCAUAUCAAGGUUCUGUUAUCUGAGAUUUACUUACUUACUGACACUACAAGCUACUCCAGGCUCAUUUUAUAUAGUUCCUGCCCCAGUAGAAUCAACCAUUUCUUCAAGGAACCUGCUUCUUUUUACUGGAGAAUAUCUUGGUAUUAGGAACCAAGGUCUGGGCACUAGGUGUGCUCAUGGCUUCUGGGAUAUCUUGGCUUCUAGAUUCUCUGUUGACAGAGCAAGGAGAUGUGUAAAUAGUAACUGUGUAUAUACAUGUAUCUAUAAAGAUUUCUGUAUGUAAUCAUCUGUAUCUAUGUUAAGCUAAACCUGAUUCAUACUGAUGCUCCAACUCUAAGCCAUUCCCACAUGGAUUAUUCCAUCCCCCUGUCCUUGCUUGUCUGUAAUCUCUCACUCCGACAGUGAAAGACCUGGCUCCCACCAUCCUCCAUCCAUUUACUUAACUGUCCAGCUCCAGCAUACACAUCUAAUGGUUUCAGAAUUGUUUAUUCAUAUGCCUGUAUUCUUGCAAACUCCACUCGUUUCCAGAGUUACUUAGGUCAGUAUUUUGUUCCCCAACUCCAUUCAUUGAUGUUUUUACAUUUGUAAUUGAGAUUCUUUUGACACAUUCUGCGUUCCGACCUGGGAUCCCCCAAACCCUUAAAUGAUUUUUAAAAAAAUUUGUAUACAUUAAAGUUUGCUCGUUGUCCUGUAAAUUUCUACGGGUUCUGAUAAAUGCUUAAUGUUCUGUAUUCAUCAUUAUGGUAUAAUACAGAAUAAUUUCACCACCCUAAAAAAUUCUCUGUGUUUCAACUAUUCAACUCUCCUUCCCCUCCAAAUUCCUGGCAAGCACUAAGCUGUUUACCAUCUCUAUAGUUUUGCCUUUUCCAGUAUGUCAUAGAAUUAGAAGCUUACACUGUA